UGGGGAAUAUUGGACAAUGGGGGAAACCCUGAUCCAGCCAUGCCGCGUGCGUGAAGAAGGCCUUAGGGUUGUAAAGCGCUUUCGGCGGGGAAGAUGAUGACGGUACCCGCAGAAGAAGCCCCGGCUAACUCCGUGCCAGCAGCCGCGGUAAUACGGAGGGGGCUAGCGUUGUUCGGAAUUACUGGGCGUAAAGGGCGCGUAGGCGGGCGAUCAAGUCAGAGGUGAAAGGCCUGGGCUCAACCUGGGAAUUGCCUUUGAAACUGAUUGUCUAGAGUCCGGAAGAGGAUGGCGGAAUUCCCAGUGUAGAGGUGAAAUUCGUAGAUAUUGGGAAGAACACCAGUGGCGAAGGCGGCCAUCUGGUCCGGUACUGACGCUGAGGCGCGAAAGCGUGGGGAGCAAACAGGAUUAGAUACCCGUGUAGUCCCUGAGCGGGCUGGCAAGGCGCAU
rnacentral:rRNA from 1 species